UAGUAAUCGCGGAUCAGCAUGCCGCGGUGAAUACGUUCCCGGGCCUUGUACACACCGCCCGUCACACCAUGGGAGUCGGUAACACCCGAAGCCUGUAGUCUAACCGCAAGGAGGACGCAGUCGAAGGUGGGAUUGAUGACUGGGGUGAAGUCGUAACAAGGUAUC
rnacentral:rRNA from 1 species